GGGGGCGAUCGGUUUCGACGUGGGGACUGAAGGUUAGUCUGCGUGCACUGGUUUCCGGUCCAGUUCAAAAACGGAACGUACUAAUUGCGAACGACAACGCGAUCGAAGCUCUCGCGGCCUAAUACGCCAAGGAGCCGUCCAACCGUGAGAUUGUCUUGGUAACGGACGGGCGCCAACCACGAAGGCUGGGUUACCCGAGGGCGUCUUCGAUAGGGUGACCGAGAUUCGCGAAGACUAGGUCGUGACCGAACUCACGGACUCAGUCGUCAGGGACAUGACGACUACGCACGUGAACGAGGGCUAAUUGGACGCCUCGCGGACCCGGGUUCGAUUCCCGGCGCCUCCACCA
rnacentral:tmRNA from 1 species